GCCGAAUAGGUGAGUAACACGUGAGUAACCUGCCCUUAACUCUGGGAUAAGCCUGGGAAACUGGGUCUAAUACCGGAUAGGAGCGCCUACCGCAUGGUGGGUGUUGGAAAGAUUUAUCGGUUUUGGAUGGACUCGCGGCCUAUCUACUUGUUGGUGAGGUAAUGGCUCACCAAGGCGACGACGGGUAGCCGGCCUGAGAGGGUGACCGGCCACACUGGGACUGAGACACGGCCCAGACUCCUACGGGAGGCAGCAGUGGGGAAUAUUGCACAAUGGGCGAAAGCCUGAUGCAGCGACGCCGCGUGAGGGAUGACGGCCUUCGGGUUGUAAACCUCUUUCAGUAGGGAAGAAGCGAAAGUGACGGUACCUGCAGAAGAAGCACCGGCUAACUACGUGCCAGCAGCCGCGGUAAUACGUAGGGUGCGAGCGUUAUCCGGAAUUAUUGGGCGUAAAGAGCUCGUAGGCGGUUUGUCGCGUCUGUCGUGAAAGUCCGGGGCUUAACCCCGGAUCUGCGGUGGGUACGGGCAGACUAGAGUGCAGUAGGGGAGACUGGAAUUCCUGGUGUAGCGGUGGAAUGCGCAGAUAUCAGGAGGAACACCGAUGGCGAAGGCAGGUCUCUGGGCUGUAACUGACGCUGAGGAGCGAAAGCAUGGGGAGCGAACAGGAUUAGAUACCCUGGUAGUCCAUGCCGUAAACGUUGGGCACUAAGUGUGGGGACCAUUCCACGGUUUCCGCGCCGCAGCUAACGCAUUAAAUGCCCCGCCCGGGGAGUACGGCCGCAAGGGUAAACUCAAAGGAAUUGACGGGGGCCGCCCAAGCAGCGGAGCAUGCGGAUUAUUCUAUGCA
rnacentral:rRNA from 1 species